rnacentral:rRNA from 1 species
AGAGUUUGAUCAUGGCUCAGGAUGAACGUUGGCGGCGUGCCUAAUACAUGCAAGUCGAACGAAGACUGUAGUAAUACUGUCUUAGUGGCGAACGGGUGAGUAACGCGUGGGUGACCUGCCCCGAAGUGUGGGAUAACAGUCCGAAAGGAUUGCUAAUACUGCAUAAUAUCCAAGAGAUUAGAUGCUUUUGGAUUAAAGGAGUAAUUCGCUUCGGGAGGGGCCCGCGUCCCAUCAGCUAGUUGGUAAGGUAAUGGCUUACCAAGGCGAUGACGGGUAGGGGACCUGAGAGGGUGGCCCCCACAAUGGAACUGAAACACGGUCCAUACACCUACGGGUGGCAGCAGUAGGGAAUAUUAGUAAUGGGCGAAAGCCUGAACUAGCAACGCCGCGUGUGCGAAGAAGGCCUUCGGGUCGUAAAGCACUUUUUGAGAGGAUGAGGAAGGACGGUACUCUCAGAAUAAGUCUCGGCUAACUACGUG